GAACGCGCACUUGGCCGCCUUCGUGCCGCUGUGGCACGGGCCCUCCUGCGGGUCGGGUGCGGAACGAGCUAUGACACUAGGUUUAUGGCGACUGGUGGUAGCAAGCAGUGAUCCGUCGCGGUUGAAGGACAUGCAGUAGAUAACGUCACUGUGACAGUCGAUCACCUUCACAGCUUCUCCCUUGCCCACAUCCCAAACGAAAAUCUAAAAAAACCAAUAAACGUUAAUACAUUCA